rfam:Salegentibacter mishustinae strain KCTC 12263 contig10, whole genome shotgun sequence.
ACUCAACAGAGAUUCUUUAAAAAGGGUGAGUCUAAGUUGUAAAAGCGCGCCGCCUUAGAGCGGAUUCUUGAUCAGCUUGUUAGCCCUAAACUUGUUUUUAAGGAGUUU